GGGGGCGGGGCUAAGAGAAAAGGAGGUAAAGGCAGUUUCGAGGGGAGGGGGCCAGGCGAAGGAGUGGACCUGGUGGAGCCAUGACUAGAUCGAAAGAGAGGAGAGUGGACUUGGUUAAUUAGAGGGGCUGAGCAGGGACCUACUCCAAGUUCUAGGCAGGUUCCGAUGUACCGUUAGGCCCAAGUCUGCACUACCACUUUCGGUUUCUGGGUUCCUGCCGCUAAGCUGCCUUUGGGCCUGCCCUGGCAGCAGAGCCCCUUCUUCCUACAGAACGAUCCUCAAACAGGAGCCCCCAGGCCUGGACACGACCGCCCUUCAGGGUUUGUGAGGAUGCAGCCUUGACCCGUCCAUCCCUUCUGUGAACUCAUCCCCUCCAGAAACCCACAGACCCAGAGACAGGCCUCCUGAAAUCACCCCAGGAUACUGCCAUUAUUUUGGGGUUUCUACUUACCAAAAAUGUUCCUGGGCUUGAAUGGAUCUCUUUGUGCAAGGAGCAGAAGGAAUGAACAUAAGUUGGAGUGGAUGGGACAUUGUUAAGGGGUCCUCAGGCUCCUCCCUCCAUAAAGGAGAUCUGGUAUCAUUUCAAGGUGUGAUGGAGAUUCUCUGUCCUUUAGGAGCCUGUCUCUUCAAUUCUUUCAUUGCCUUCUUCCUCCUCCUCAUGAUGCCCCAAAUGGCCUUAGUAUAUCUUUUCAGGUCAGUUUCCUGUCUGUGUGAGAUCAAUGGGAUCCUGAUUGUGAUUUGUGCAUUUGAAGUUGAAGUGGCCCUUUAUUACCUAUGGAUAGAUCAAAGAUGUCGAGGGUAUCUUUAUGACUGGACAUUUAGGUAUGGCUGGACAGCUUUUGUGACAGGUUUUAUGCUGCUAAUAUUAAACAGUGCAUCAGUAUACUUAUUCAGAAGAUUUGUCACUGCACACAACCAGUCUCCAGAGCUGACAAUAAGGUAAUUUCAGGUGGGGUGUGCAUUUGACUUAAUUACAGGUGAAUAUCUCCACAGGAAGCUGAAAAGAGACCAAGUUGAGCCCUGGGUACACAUGCUCAGUUGGGGGUGGGGCUAGG
rnacentral:lncRNA from 1 species